AUUGAACGCUGGCGGCAUGCCUUACACAUGCAAGUCGAACGGCAGCGCGGGGCAACCUGGCGGCGAGUGGCGAACGGGUGAGUAACAUAUCGGAACAUACCCUAGAGUGGGGAUAACGUAGCGAAAGUUACGCUAAUACCGCAUACGCACUAAGGUGGAAAGUGGGGGAUCUUCGGACCUCAUGCUCAUGGAGUGGCCGAUAUCUGAUUAGCUAGUUGGUGAGGUAAAGGCUCACCAAGGCGACGAUCAGUAGCUGGUUUGAGAGAACGACCAGCCACACUGGAACUGAGACACGGUCCAGACUCCUACGGAGGCAGCAGUGGGGAAUUUUGGACAAUGGGGGCAACCCUGAUCCAGCAAUGCCGCGUGAGUGAAGAAGGCCUUCGGGUU
rnacentral:rRNA from 1 species